UGCACGCACUCUCAUGGAAGCCCACCAAUGACAACUGCAAAUACAUGCAGCCCAAGUUGUGUCAGAAAAAAAUUUAUCAUACUAAACACCUAAAAUUUUUCGCGUGUUCUAACCACAAAAAUUUUUAUCACUUUGAUCAAAAAAUUUCAAAUCUUGGUAGUUUGGGUGAUGGGCUGAUGGCACUGUUGCCUGUUGGGAACAGACUGACAGAGGAGGUCUUCUUUUCUGAUGGCGAUCCUCAGGUUUUAUCCAAGGGAAAGUCCUGGUGGCCACUGUCGGCGUCUCGGAUUGCACAUCAACCAAGUUGACAUCAAGGGUAGCCAUGCUCUAGUUUACCGUUUUUGUCUCAGUGCUAUUAUCCACUCCCUUCGAUUUAAAAAGCAGACGUCGUCGCAGAACACAUGAUACCCAAAGACCAAGAGCCCAAGAGUUACUCCAGUAUGCAUAAAGGUAUCUAAUGUUGUCACAUAAAAAAACACUACUACAUUAGACGGGCAAAAAUGAUUAACCGGGACGGAGCGAGGGUCACCGUAAAUAGACUAUUUUCCAAGGUGGUUGUCUGACCGCCUUGGUUAAUUAAUUUUUUUUUAAAAAAAAAGAAUAAGAAGAAAAAAAUCUAUGGACAAGCCCGCUGAGCCCAUCUAGGGUUUCGCCUCCACCG
rnacentral:lncRNA from 1 species